GGUAAAAAAGCGAAGAUGUUGCGUACGGUUUCGGCCCGUAAGUUUGUAGGAUUAACCUUCUUUUAUCU
rnacentral:tRNA from 1 species